GGAGAGGUGGCUGAGUGGCCGAAAGCGGCGCUUUGCUAAAGCGUUGUAGGUCUUAAAAGCCUACCGGGGGUUCGAAUCCCCCCCUCUCCGCCA
rnacentral:tRNA from 1 species